rnacentral:rRNA from 1 species
GUGGGGAAUAUUAGGCAAUGGGCGAAAGCCUGACCUAGCAACGCCGCGUGAAGGAAGAAGGCCUUCGGGUUAUAAACUUCUUUUAUGAGGGACGAAGGACGUGACGGUACCUCAUGAAUAAGCCACGGCUAACUACGUGCCAGCAGCCGCGGUAAUACGUAGGUGGCGAGCGUUGUCCGGAUUUACUGGGUGUAAAGGGCGCGUAGGCGGACUGGCAAGUCAGAUGUGAAAUACAGGGGCUCAACCCCUGAACUGCAUUUGAAACUGUUGGUCUUGAGUAUCGGAGAGGCAAGCGGAAUUCCUAGUGUAGCGGUGAAAUGCGUAGAUAUUAGGAGGAACACCAGUGGCGAAGGCGGCUUGCUGGACGACAACUGACGCUGAGGCGCGAAAGCGUGGGGAGCAAACAGGAUUAGAUACCCGGGUAGUCC